rnacentral:rRNA from 1 species
UAUGAACGCUAGCUACAGGCUUAACACAUGCAAGUCGAGGGGCAGCAUGAAGUUUGCUUGCAAACUUUGAUGGCGACCGGCGGAUGGGUGAGUAACGCGUACCCAACCUGCCCCCUUCCCGGGCACAGCCCUUGGAAACGAGGAUUAACGCCCGAUGGCGUCUGGAUGCCGCAUGGCAUUCCGACCAAAUGCGAAGGAAGGGGAUGGGGGUGCGUCCCAUUAGCUAGUUGGCGGGGUAACGGCCCACCAAGGCAUCGAUGGGUAGGGGUUCUGAGAGGAAGGUCCCCCACACUGGAACUGAGACACGGUCCAGACUCCUACGGGAGGCAGCAGUGAGGAAUAUUGGUCAAUGGUCUGACGACUGAACCAGCCAUGCCGCGUGAAGGAGACGGGCCCUAUGGGGUCUUAAACUUCUUUUGUAAGGGAGCAAUAAAGUCCUACGUGUAGGAUGAUGAGAGUACCUUACGAAUAAGCAUCGGCUAACUCCGUG